rnacentral:rRNA from 1 species
GCCUGAUGGAGGGGGAUAACUACUGGAAACGGUAGCUAAUACCGCAUAACGUCGCAAGACCAAAGAGGGGGACCUUCGGGCCUCUUGCCAUCGGAUGUGCCCAGAUGGGAUUAGCUAGUAGGUGGGGUAACGGCUCACCUAGGCGACGAUCCCUAGCUGGUCUGAGAGGAUGACCAGCCACACUGGAACUGAGACACGGUCCAGACUCCUACGGGAGGCAGCAGUGGGGAAUAUUGCACAAUGGGCGCAAGCCUGAUGCAGCCAUGCCGCGUGUAUGAAGAAGGCCUUCGGGUUGUAAAGUACUUUCAGCGGGGAGGAAGGUGAUGAGGUUAAUAACCUCGUCAAUUGACGUUACCCGCAGAAGAAGCACCGGCUAACUCCGUGCCAGCAGCCGCGGUAAUACGGAGGGUGCAAGCGUUAAUCGGAAUUACUGGGCGUAAAGCGCACGCAGGCGGUCUGUCAAGUCGGAUGUGAAAUCCCCGGGCUCAACCUGGGAACUGCAUUCGAAACUGGCAGGCUAGAGUCUUGUAGAGGGGGGUAGAAUUCCAGGUGUAGCGGUGAAAUGCGUAGAGAUCUGGAGGAAUACCGGUGGCGAAGGCGGCCCCCUGGACAAAGACUGACGCUCAGGUGCGAAAGCGUGGGGAGCAAAC